GAUGAACGCUGGCGGCGUGCUUAACACAUGCAAGUCGAACGAACCUUCGGGUUAGUGGCGGACGGGUGAGUAACGCGUGGGAAUCUGCCCUCAGGAGGGGGAUAACGGCUGGAAACGGCCGCUAAUACCCCAUAUGCCGCGAGGUGAAAUGAAUUUCGCCUGAGGAUGAGCCCGCGUCUGAUUAGCUAGUUGGUGGGGUAAAGGCCUACCAAGGCGACGAUCAGUAGCUGGUCUGAGAGGAUGAUCAGCCACACUGGGACUGAGACACGGCCCAGACUCCUACGGGAGGCAGCAGUGGGGAAUUUUCCGCAAUGGGCGAAAGCCUGACGGAGCAACGCCGCGUGAGGGAUGAAGGCCUCUGGGCUGUAAACCUCUUUUCUCAAGGAAGAAGACCUGACGGUACUUGAGGAAUAAGCCACGGCUAAUUCCGUGACAGCCGCCGCGGUAA
rnacentral:rRNA from 1 species